rnacentral:rRNA from 1 species
AUUGAACGCUGGCGGCAGGCUUAACACAUGCAAGUCGAGCGGGGGAAGGUAGCUUGCUACCGGACCUAGCGGCGGACGGGUGAGUAAUGCUUAGGAAUCUGCCUAUUAGUGGGGGACAACAUCUCGAAAGGGAUGCUAAUACCGCAUACGUCCUACGGGAGAAAGCAGGGGAUCUUCGGACCUUGCGCUAAUAGAUGAGCCUAAGUCGGAUUAGCUAGUUGGUGGGGUAAAGGCCUACCAAGGCGACGAUCUGUAGCGGGUCUGAGAGGAUGAUCCGCCACACUGGGACUGGGACACGGCCCAGAAUCCUACGGGAGGCAGCAGUGGGGAAUAUUGGACAAUGGGGGGAACCCUGAUCCAGCCAUGCCGCGUGUGUGAAGAAGGCCUUAUGGUUGUAAAGCACUUUAAGCGAGGAGGAGGCUACUCUAGUUAAUACCUAGGGAUAGUGGACGUUACUCGCAGAAUAAGCACCGGCUAACUCUGUGCCAGCCGCCGCUGUAA